UACGUAGGGUGCAAGCGUUGUCCGGAAUUAUUGGGCGUAAAGAGUCUGUAGGCGGUUUGCGCGUCUGCUGUGAAAUUUCGGGGCUCAACCCCGAACUUGCAGUGGGUACGGGCAGACUAGAGUGUGGUAGGGGAGACUGGAAUUCCUGGUGUAGCGGUGAAAUGCGCAGAUAUCAGGAGGAACACCGGUGGCGAAGGCGGUUCUCUGGGCCUUACCUGACGCUGAGGAGCGAAAGCGUGGGGAGCGAACAGG
rnacentral:rRNA from 1 species